UAGGUGGCGGUAUGCACUUCAACGUUGUUUGAGAAAAACCGAGAGAAGAAGAGAAGGAGGAAGAAGACAAAGAAGAAGAGUUGUGUCUAGUGUCUUGUGACCUGCUGUUGAGGAAGCAGUCAACUCAACUGCUGCUGGCAGCACAGAUGGCAGGUGUGGGCUUGGCACAGAGACGGCUCCCUGCUCAGCUGCUGCUGCUGCUGUGGACUCUCGCACACUUCUCUGAGUCCAGAGUGCAUCUGUUUGCUCCAGAUGUUGUCACACUUGCGGAAAACACUAAAGUCAACAUCAGCAUUACUUCCAGUUCCCCCGUCAACCAGUCGGCUGUGAUUUACUUCAAUGUAACCUUCAGCUCCAAGUCCAACUCCUCCUCUGUGAUCACAGUGCCUGAGCAGGUGUUGCUGCCAGUGGAGGAAACCUCAGUCAGUUUCAAUGUGAUGGCCCAUGAUGUGGGUCAGGUGACCACAUACCUGCUGAGCAACAACACAGAGCUCAACAGUUCGUCCUUCAGUAUCCACUUCAUGGUCGUCCAUAGCAACGCCCUGUCAGUAAUCAGUCAGGUGAUUGGCUGGAUUUACUUUGUGGCCUGGUCGGUGUCCUUCUACCCACAAGCCUGGGAAAACUGCCGGAGGAAAAGUGUUGUAGGUCUCAACUUCGACUUCCUGGCUCUCAACCUAACUGGCUUCAUUGCCUACAGUGUCUUCAACAUAGGACUGUUCUGGGUGCCUUAUAUAAAGGAGGAGUUUCUGAAGAGGAACCUCAACGGAAUUAACCCGGUCAACGCCAACGACGUCUUCUUCAGUCUGCAUGCUGUCCUGCUCUGCUUGGUCUACAUCAGCCAGGCUGCUGUGUACAAGAGGGGGGGUCAAAAGGUCUCCUGUACAGCCUGGUUCUUGUUGGUGAUUGGCUGGACGUUUGCCUUGGUCAGCUUGUUUCUUGCUGUAGCCAAACGGAUCACCUGGUUGGAUUACCUCUACUAUUUCUCCUACAUUAAACUGGCAGUCACUCUGAUCAAAUAUGUGCCACAGGCGUACAUGAACUACAGAAAGCAGAGCACUGACGGUUGGAGUAUUGGCAACGUAUUGCUGGACUUCACUGGUGGAGUCCUGAGUGUUCUACAGAUGCUCCUUCAGUCCUACAACAAUGACCAGUGGAGUCUGAUGUUUGGUGAUCCUACAAAGUUUGGUCUGGGUGUGUUCUCCGUGGUGUUUGACAUCCUCUUCAUGACUCAGCACUACUGCCUCUACAGACGGCCACCACAGUACGAAGCUGUUACUGAGCGAGAAGAGGACUGAUGCUGCCUGUGGAUGGAAUGUCUAACACUCGAUCACAAAGCAGCAGAAGCUCAUCAAUGAUUCAAAGAGCUGAAGAGAACCCAUGAUGCCUUGAGGUUAACCUAAAGACAAUGAGGGCGGAUUGUGAUGGAUCAGCCAAAACACCCCCGGAGGUGGUCAGGGUGUGACCACAUUGGACACAAUUGGAAAUGCAAUUUCAAUCCACAUACAACAACUACGUGAGCGGAAAUACGGACAUCUGCGUUCUUGUGCUCAGUCAUCAGUCGCAGCCCAAGUAGGCUACUGUUCCAAUUCAUAGUCCACAUCUAGCCAAGUACAGUCCGAAUGACAGGAAGUGUUCUUGCUCUGCCUGUUUUAUCCAUGGAUGUAUUCUAAGAACUGAGUCUUUUCUCAAUACAGACAAGAUGACCGGCCAGAGGGUCCUCAUAUCUCCAAAUAUUGGAGCCAUUAUCUAAAUAAGCAUUUAAGCAUAACCACGUAUCCAAAAUCUAAGUCGUUACUUUCUCACCUGGAAAAUAAAAUUGAAACCUAAUAAAGUAACAAAAUAGCAGCCGUAGGACUCUGGAGAGGAAACGAACAACGAAAGCCUGUAGGAAGAAGAACUACUCUUACUACGCUGCAGAAAAAAGAACAUUUUAAUGUCUUCUGGGAAUGAAGGGAACUUUUUGGCCCAGAUGAUCUCCACCUGAUGCUGUCAUCUAAUUUAUCAUUUGAAAUCCUUCGCUCAGGUGCUCUUCACAGGAAUCAACCAUGCCAACCAUUAUCUCGGCUUCAGAAGACCCAGUGCUGCUCUUUAUUCAUCUUUCAAAAGUAUCCGGUACGGUUGAUCAUGCAUUGCUUUUAAAAUACUUCAAAGUAUUGGAUUUGAUGGUAUUGCAUAUAAAUGUUUCCAGAGUUACAUGAUGGCCACAAGCAGUGUAUAUCUGGGAAAUGUUCAAUCUAAAUCUGUUAAAAUUGUAAAAUAUGUUCCACAAGACUCAAUCCUGGGCCAGUUCUGUCCACUCUUUAUAAAGAUGAUGUUGUUUCUUCAA